AAUACCACUCAGGCUCUUCUGCUUGGUCAUGGAAGAAGAGUAUGCUUGCAUCCUCUCUUCUGAAAUCGAAUGGCGGACCGCCUCAUGUGCCUCGCGUAGUAAGUUCAUCCUUUCGCUUGGAGCGUGAGACAGUCUCGCCAUCAACCCCCAUACUUCUAA
rnacentral:misc_RNA from 1 species